UUUUCACUUCUUUCUCUAUCACCCACAUUUGUAUCUACAUUUCUCAAAUAUUAAAUUAUACGGAGUACUAAUACUACUGAAUUAAUUUUAUUAUUCUAAAUGUUUCAAACUUUGCACAUGCAGCGAACAUUUUUUACACCUUUAAUUCCCAGCUUCCUACUUUAAGCCGCCCUAAUUACAAGGUACCCUAGCUUUAUGAGUUAGAUUUUUCCCUCUGCUUUUACAAAUUUGGUCCUUGGUGAAGAUUGAAAAUGCUCUUCUUUUGGGAAAAUGAUGGGUUACAACUUUGAAUUGCUGGAAUUGUACUCUGGGAGAGGUGAAUGAGCAGGCAAAAAGUGAUGAAGAAACAUGUGAAUAUGGUGAGAGGAAGAGGUCCCAGCAGGGUGAAUGGCCAACAGGUUGCUUUUGAACUUAAACAACGUGCGGUUCUUGCGCUGAACAAGCUUGCAGAUAGGGAUACUUACCAAAUUGGAGUUGAAGAGCUAGAGAAAAUAAUUGAGUGCUUAACCCCAGAUGGAGUCGCUCCAUUUCUAUCUUGUAUAUUAGAUACUGACUCAGAGCAGAAAAGUGCUGUUCGUAAGGAAUCUAUUCGGUUGAUGGGCAUGCUAGCCAAUUUCCAUGAUAGUAUUGUUGUUCCACAUCUUGGGAAGAUGGUAACUAGCAUUGUUAAGCGUCUCAAGGACUCGGAUACAGUUGUAAGAGAUGCGUGCGUGGAUACUGUUGGUGUUUUGGCUUCUAAAAUGAGUAGUGUUACAGGUGACAAUGAAAAUGAUGGAGUUUUUGUGAUGCUAGUGAGGCCUAUUUUUGAAGCAAUGGGAGAGCAAAAUAAGCAGGUGCAAACUGGUUCAGCGCUGUGCUUGGCUCGGGUCAUAGACAGUAUUCAGAACCCUCCAGCUGUCAUUUUGCAGAAGAUGCUGGCUAAAACUGUCAAGUUGCUUAAGAAUCCACACUUCAUGGCAAAACCAGCUGUUAUUGAAUUGAAUAGAAGCAUAAUUCAGGCUGGUGGUGCCAAUACACAUAGUGCUUUAUCAACUGCAAUGGCUAGCAUUCAAGAAGCACUCAAGAACAGUGAUUGGGCGACAAGAAAAGCUGCAUGUGCAGCAUUAGGCGACAUUGCUUCAAUCGGUGGAGCAUUCUUCAGCACUUUCAAAACCUCCAGUAUCCGGACCCUUGAAUCCUGUCGAUUUGAUAAGGUGAAACCAGUCAGGGACUCAGCAUUGCAAGCUUUACACCUGUGGAAAAGGCUUCCUGGCACUGGUACAUCUGAACCUUCUGAAGCAGGCUCUUCCAUAAGAGAAAAUCUUUAUAAAGAUGACUAUGGCGAUAUAACAAGUGCCAGUGAGUCAACACUGAAGGAUGUCACACCUAAGAAAUUUGGUUGUGACUCGGUUAAAAGCAAGCUUCCCCUUUCUUUCAGAAAAGCAGGCCCUAACCAUGUUGAAAAGCCUCAGCACUCCGGAGCUAAUGAGUGGCGUGUAGAAAUAGCAGUUCCAAAAACCCGUAAGAUCUUUAUGCCAGAAGUUCGGGAUGAAGAAUCAGAGGGUAGUUCUAUUACGAAGGCAUUUGAAAAAAGUGCUGAGACUAGAAGUUCUCAUGAUGUUGAAUAUGAAUAUGUGCACAUAGAUGACAAACAGGAAUGCUCUUCUGGCUCAAAUCUGUUUCCUGAUAACUUUCAACGCAAAGAAGUCCUGGGUUCUCACGAGGUAAUUGACAAGGCCAAUUUGGUUACACCAUUGGGAACAAGUCGGCGUUCUGCAGUUGAAGAAAUCAGUAUUGAGGAACAGCGAUAUUUUUCUGGAAUGCAGGAACGAAGAAGCUUAGAUUCAACAGUAACUGAAUUGAGUUCCCAAAAAUUGCAUGGCUGUUGUUCUGAUGUAGCUAAGGAAAUGUUAUCUGUCCGAAAGCAACUCUUAGAUAUUGAAAAUAAGCAAUCCAAUUUACUGGAUUUAUUAAAGGAGUUCACAUCCAACAUUGUGGAUAACCUGUCAAUGAUACAAAUAAAUGUGUCCAGUCUUGAAGGUGUAGUUGAUAGAUUGGCCAAGGAACUUUCUCAUGGAGGGAGAUUUCCUGAUCCAGCGACAACAAAAUUUAUGAAAAGAGGUCCUGCUGUUGCUUCCCCAAGGCUCUCCACAUACACCCCAAGGCCAUCUGUUGAUAUGCCUCAUAGGAAGUCUCCGUUACUGCCCACCAAAGAUGUGGAGGUUCGGGGGGAUAGGACACUUGUAAAGAGCAGAUCGGGCAGUUUUAGAAAUCAAAAUCUAGACAUGUGGAUAGAUCCUGCAGCAAAACAAGGUGGAUAUUCUGUUGGAAAGGGAACACAUGGAGGACAAUUGAGGAGAAAUAAAGAUGUCUUUGGCAGAAUUUCUACAACUAAUGACAAACAAAAUCACUUAGAUGCCAAGAAUAACCUCUGGAGAAUUGUUAAAGGACAUCUUUUGGGUGGGGAUGUAGACUCUGCUUAUGUGGAAGCCCUUUAUUCUGGUGAUGAGCUUGUUUUGUUUGAACUUAUUGAUACAACAGGGCCAGUUCUGGAGAAUUUAUCCCAAAAGACCGCCAGUGAUCUUUUGGCCACUUUAUCAUCAUACUUCUUCGAACAAACAUAUGUGAAUAUCAUAAUUCCCUGGCUGCAACAGGUGGUGGAAUUGAGUUCUGUCCGUGGGCCAGAUUAUACUGUCCUCCCUACAAAUGCAAAGCGAGAAUUUCUUUCUGCAUUUCAGGAAGCGAUAAAGGGUGGAUACUCUACCCCAGCAGAGAGAAAAUCUUUGAUGCAGUUGGCAAUGACCUUAAACCAGCUUUGGGGAAAGAGUGGUCAUCUGGAGAAGGAAGUUUAAAUUGAUGAAAAGUCUCACUUUUCUGAUUUUUGUUUCUCAAAAACCAGGAGUGGUGAAACCAGGAAAAAAUGCACCAUAGCAUGCCACGGAGUUGCUGGUAUUCUCUCUGGUGGAAUUUGGAACUGAGCUUACAGACAAAGUAGAAGAGAAUGGAUUCGAGGGGGGAUGAAUCUUGAUGCUUAGAAAGAGCUACUCUUUUCUUUUAUCAACUUCUCGAAACGUUACCUGAAUACGCAGAACUGAAGGUUGUAGCUUCUAGAAUGUCAAGACAGUUUCAACUUUCAUGAAUCUGUGAUUUGUUUUUGUCCAUUUCUCAGUUUCCUUGGAAAUGCUGUUUAAACACAGAGAUGUCAAGACAUAUCAGCCAUCAUGUCAACCUUUCAUUAGAUGCCGUUGUACAGUUGAAAUUGGACAGUAAUUUCAUGUCUUUAUUUCUCCAA